UACGAAGGGGGCUAGCGUUGCUCGGAAUCACUGGGCGUAAAGGGUGCGUAGGCGGGUCUUUAAGUCAGGGGUGAAAUCCUGGAGCUCAACUCCAGAACUGCCUUUGAUACUGAAGAUCUUGAGUUCGGGAGAGGUGAGUGGAACUGCGAGUGUAGAGGUGAAAUUCGUAGAUAUUCGCAAGAACACCAGUGGCGAAGGCGGCUCACUGGCCCGAUACUGACGCUGAUGCACGAAAGCGUGGGGAGCAAACGGG
rnacentral:rRNA from 1 species